GCCGGGUGUUGUGGCGGGCGCCUGUGGUCCCAGCUACUUGGGAGGCAGAGGCAGGAGACUGGCUUGAGCCCAGGAGUUGGAGGUUGCUGUGAGCUGUAAUGCCACGGCCCUCUACCCAGGGGGACAGCUUGAGGCUUUGUCUCAAAAAAAAAAAAAAAAAAGAACGUAGGCUGACUUACUGACAGAACUCAAGUUGGUUUUUUUUGAGUCUCAAGCUGUUGCCCUGGGUAGAGUGUCAGGGUAUCAUAGCUCACAGCAACCUCCAACUCUUAGGUCCAAGUGAUCCUCUUGC
rnacentral:sRNA from 1 species